rnacentral:tRNA from 3 species
GGGCGCGUGGCCUAGCCCGGAUAUGGCGGCAGCCUCCUAAGCUGUAAAUCGGGGGUUCAAAUCCCUUCGCGCCCGCCA